rnacentral:rRNA from 1 species
GGCAUAAGGGAGCUUGACUGCGAGACCUACAAGUCGAGCAGGGUCGAAAGACGGACUUAGUGAUCCGGUGGUUCCGCAUGGAAGGGCCAUCGCUCAACGGAUAAAAGCUACCCCGGGGAUAACAGGCUUAUCUCCCCCAAGAGUUCACAUCGACGGGGAGGUUUGGCACCUCGAUGUCGGCUCAUCGCAUCCUGGGGCUGUAGUCGGUCCCAAGGGUUGGGCUGUUCGCCCAUUAAAGCGGUACGCGAGCUGGGUUCAGAACGUCGUGAGACAGUUCGGUCCCUAUCCGUCGUGGGCGUAGGAAAUUUGAGAGGAGCUGUCCUUAGUACGAGAGGACCGGGAUGGACAUACCUCUGGUGUACCAGUUGUCGUGCCAACGGCAUAGCUGGGUAGCUAUGUGUGGACGGGAUAAGUGCUGAAAGCAUCUAAGCAUGAAGCCCCCCUCAAGAUGAGAUUUCCCAACUUCGGUUAUAAGAUCCCUCAAAGAUGAUGAGGUUAAUAGGUUCGAGGUGGAAGCAUGGUGACAUGUGGAGCUGACGAAUACU